GAUGAACGCUAGCGGCAGGCCUAACACAUGCAAGUCGAGGGGUAACUAGAGUGAUAGCAAUAUUACUUUGGCUAGACCGGCGCACGGGUGCGCAACACGUAUGCAACCUACCUUAUACUGGGGAAUAACUUCGAGAAAUCGGCGCUAAUACCCCAUAACAUUGCGAAGAGGCAUCUCUUUGCGAUUAAAGCUCCGGCGGUAUAAGAUGGGCAUGCGUCCAAUUAGCUAGUUGGUGAGGUAACGGCUCACCAAGGCUACGAUUGGUAGGGGUUCUGAGAGGAUGAUCCCCCACACUGGUACUGAGACACGGACCAGACUCCUACGGGAGGCAGCAGUGAGGAAUAUUGCGCAAUGGACGAAAGUCUGACGCAGCCAUGCCGCGUGCAGGAUGACGGCCCUAUGGGUUGUAAACUGCUUUUGUACGGGAAUAAACCCUUCUACGUGUAGGAGGCUGAAGGUACCGUAAGAAUAAGCACCGGCUAACUCCGUGCCAGCCGCCGCGGUAAUAC
rnacentral:rRNA from 1 species